rnacentral:rRNA from 1 species
AGUGAACGCUGGCGGUAGGCCUAACACAUGCAAGUCGAACGGCAGCACAGUAAGAGCUUGCUCUUACGGGUGGCGAGUGGCGGACGGGUGAGGAAUACAUCGGAAUCUACUUUUUCGUGGGGGAUAACGGAGGGAAACAUACGCUAAUACCGCAUACGACCUACGGGAGAAAGCAGGGGAUCUUCGGACCUUGGGCGAUUGAAUGAGCCGAUGUCGGAUUAGCUAGUUGGCGGGGUAAAGGCACACCAAGGCGACGAUCCGUAGCUGGUCUGAGAGGAUGAUCGGCCACACUGGAACUGAGACACGGUCCAGACUCCUACGGGAGGCAGCAGUGGGGAAUAUUGCACAAUGGGCGCAAGCCUGAUCCAGCCAUACCGCGUGAGUGAUGAAGGCCUUCGGGUUGUAAAGCCCUUUUGUUGGGAAAGAAAAGCAGCAGGUUAAUACCCCGCUGUUCUGACGGUACCCAAAGAAUAAGCACCGGCUAACUUCGUG